rnacentral:rRNA from 1 species
CAAGUCUUGACAUCCCUCUGAAUCCUCUAGAGAUAGAGGCGGCCUUCGGGACAGAGGUGACAGGUGGUGCAUGGUUGUCGUCAGCUCGUGUCGUGAGAUGUUGGGUUAAGUCCCGCAACGAGCGCAACCCUUGAUUUUAGUUGCCAGCACUUUGGGUGGGCACUCUAGAAUGACUGCCGGUGACAAACCGGAGGAAGGCGGGGAUGACGUCAAAUCAUCAUGCCCCUUAAUGACUUGGGCUACACACGUACUACAAUGGCUGGUACAACGGGAAGCGAAGCCGCGAGGUGGAGCCAAUCCUAUAAAAGCCAGUCUCAGUUCGGAUUGCAGGCUGCAACUCGCCUGCAUGAAGUCGGAAUUGCUAGUAAUCGCGGAUCAGCAUGCCGCGGUGAAUACGUUCCC